UUUUUUUAUUUUUAWAUUUUUAUGUUAUUUUUGUAAAAUGUUUUAGUUUUUUUUAUUAUUUGAAGAGACAAUUAAAAUUUGGUUUUUGAACUGGAUUAGUACCCAGGUAAUCAAAAUUUAUUAAUUCGGGAGUAAAGUUUUAUUUAAACCGAAAAAAUAUUGACUGACUUUGGAUUUUUCUUUGGAAUAUGCGUAUGGAGAGCCCYCCYUUUUAGUUAAUCCUAUUGGCACAUGUAUGAUUGUUUAGUUUUUAUUUUAUUUGUAAUGCUUUUUUGUUAUGUCAUUUAAAACAGAUAUAUAUUUGGCUUAUGGAUUUGUGAUCGUGUGUUACUAUUAUUAAUUUUUUUUUGGAUUAUUUUUUUAUUUUUUUUUGAAAUUGGAAAAAAAAGAAAUUUUUUUU
rnacentral:rRNA from 1 species